GAACGCGAAGAACCUUACCAAGGCUUGACAUAUACUGGACCGCAUCAGAGAUGGUGUUUCCCUUCGGGGCUGGUAUACAGGUGGUGCAUGGUUGUCGUCAGCUCGUGUCGUGAGAUAUUGGGUUAAGUCCCGCAACGAGCGCAACCCUCGUUCUAUGUUGCCAGCACGUUAUGGUGGGGACUCAUAGGAGACUGCCGGGGUCAACUCGGAGGAAGGUGGGGAUGACGUCAAAUCAUCAUGCCCCUUAUGUCUUGGGCUUCACGCAUGCUACAAUGGCCGGUACAGAGGGUUGCGAUACUGUGAGGUGGAGCUAAUCCCUAAAAGCCGGUCUCAGUUCGGAUUGGGGUCUGCAACUCGACCCCAUGAAGUCGGAGUCGCUAGUAAUCGCAGAUCAGCAACGCUGCGGUGAAUACGUUCCCGGGUCUUGUACACACC
rnacentral:rRNA from 1 species